UCCGCCCGGGUACUACGAGCACAGCUUAAAACCCAAAGGACUUGGCGGUGUCUCAGACCCACCUAGAGGAGCCUGUUCUAGAACCGAUAACCCCCGUUAAACCUCACCACUUCUUGUUUUACCCGCCUAUAUACCACCGUCGUCAGCUUACCCUGUGAAGGCUUAAUAGUAAGCAAAAUGGGCCCGCCCAAAAACGUCAGGUCGAGGUGUAGCGCACGAAGUGGGAAGAAAUGGGCUACAUUUUCUAUAAAAUAGAAUAUUACGGAUGGCAUUAUGAAAAUUAAUGCCUGAAGGUGGAUUUAGUAGUAAAAA
rnacentral:rRNA from 1 species